AAGGGAGACCUAAUUCGGGUAUGGGAUGAAAAAAAAGUAGUCCCAACCAAGAAUCAAUCCCAAAAGGUCGGAGCGAGGCGAAAUUGGCUUUCAAACUAGGUUCUGGGUUCACAGAAGACCUGAAUCAGGAACAAGGGCUAUUAGCUCAGGUGGUUAGAGCGCACCCCUGAUAAGGGUGAGGUCCCUGGUUCGAGUCCAGGAUGGCCCACCUGCACAGGUGGUAAAAACAAGAGAAGCGAGGAAUCAGCACCUUAUCUUACUUACAUAGUAAGAGAGAAUGCUGGCUCUGAGUAAAGAGUCCAGAGGAACCUUGAAAACUGCAUAGAGCUAGGUGAAAAAGCCAAAAAAGAAGACCGCAA
rnacentral:tRNA from 1 species